CUCUGUAUGCAGAUGUUUAUUUUUAGGCAUCAUCUGUAUUGGUUGCUAGUGAAUGCUUAACUUUCACAAAGGGUCAGAAAAGGUCAUCACUAUAGUAAAGCUUUGUAUAAACUAACAACUCUAUCUUGGUUCCUUAUUUAAAGGGAAUAAUAUUGCACAAAAAAUACUCUGAAAAUGUUCUCUUGCAAAAAGAUGAAAAAUCUAUGUUUAUUCAAGCCUGCAGCAUGCCAUAAAAAUUUGGAUGUUUUAAAUAUGCUGAAUGACAUGCAACUCUAGACAUAUCAGAUGAUUUACACAGUAUGUAAUAGGAGAAAUAAUGAUAUCACAUCCUCAGAAAAAAAGCUUUGUUAAAGCAGAGUUAAGUUCAUGCAUGCAUCACAAUUAAACUAAAGAGCAAACCUCACUGUCAUUCUAAAAAGAAAACAUUGUCAUACAUGGAAAUUCCCUGUUAAUGCACAAUUUAAAUUUUUAAUAUUUGGAAGUCAGGGAGUUCAUUCUUUAGGUUCUGCAUUCAGUGAGCAUCCCUACCUGGCACUGAUCUCCACCAGCCAUUUAGCUCGCUGUAGACAAAGGCCUUACCUUGACUUUGCAAAUCCAGAGUAUCACAAUCACGUGUGAACUUGUUUCCUAGUAACUGCCUGCUUGUUCUCUGUUACCUGAUAUUCCUACAAUCCCACCAGGAGCAUGUCUUGAAUUCCUUGGGGCAUGGAAAGCCAUUUUGUUAGCAUAUCCUCUCCCAACAUGUUUGGAGAAGGACUUUGCAACAUUCUUUAAAAAAUAAAUGGAAAUGUGAGCAAGCUUAUUUGGUACCCACAGGUCCUGAGUCUCUUCUUCUAGAAAGGGACCCUCUACUGACCUGGAGUUUUCUAUCCUCUGCUCUUCUGUAUGUAUUGAUUGGGCUUUCUAGACCAUUCUGGAUCUUGAGGUCAUAGGCUUCAGGUUUCCAAAUUACCUGGUCAGAUAUCUAUGCACACUGUAGCUGCAUGCAGUGACAUUCUAAAGCACAAAAAGUGAAUUAUUAGUAGCAGCUUAAGUCACAACAGCAACUAAAAUAUGAACACAAUUUUGCGGUCCUCGUAUGAGAUGAAGCAGGAGAGAAUAUGUUUCUGUGGUCUGGAUGAUGGCUGUUUGGAAUAAGUAGAAAAAAAUCAUUCUGGUUCAGGAUUAGUCAAUCCCUGAAGUUCAGUCUUCAUAUUUGCAGGUUUAAUACUGUUGUGCUUGUUCAGGGCAUUGCUUUUGAAGAGGCUUGCAUGAUUAACAAGCUCAGUUUAGGUGACAUUUGGCUGAGCAGCGCUAUGUCAGCUUGGAAGGAGCAGGGACAGAGGUACAGAAAGUCUCACCAAGGAGAGUUAUUUGGUGUAGGGUGUCAUUUGCCACAGAGUUACUCAGAUGGAAGGAACUUCUGGAAUUAUAUCCAGUCCUAUUCUAGUCCUUCAGAUUUCCCCACUCAAAAGUGUUUUAUACUGCUGCAGCUGAAUGCUUUUCAGAUUAAUCAGACAAUUUUGGACACAGCUGGACAAAGUCAUUUUCUGGUUUAUGUUUCUGUACAAGAGCACAUGAAAUGUAGAUGAUUUAGAAGAAAGCAUGUUGUUCAGUGUUCCCUUUAAGGAAGGGGGGAAGGAAAAUAAACCUUAUCAGUGCUGAGGAUUUUAAAACACUUAGAUUUAACUGAAGUUAUUUUUAAAUGUUGCCUUUUGUAAAAUCUCUAGUUUUCCUUCAAGCUGUGUCAAGUGGCAUAAUAAAGUUGCCUCAGACAUGAGAGGUUGUAGCAAUUUCCCCUAGCUUUUCUUUUCCUUUCUAUGGCAGCCCUGGGCACUGUUAGUUGUGCUCAUUUUGUAGCAAAGCUUCUUGCAGAUGAGGGAAAUUGUGGGAGAGCACUUGUGGAAUAAGAAAAUUAAAAUAACAAUGGAGUCAUGUUGUGAGGUGCAAUGCUCUGUCACUGGCUCAGCACAUUCUUGUACAUAUGGGUGAUGGUCUGCAUGACCUGUACUGACCUAGUUGACUCAAUCAAAAAAAUUGAAAUAAAAUGGUACUAAUAACUUUGAGAUUUCAAGGGUUAUUUAAAGUGUCUACAAAAAUCUUGGGCACACUGGCCUGGAAAAGGAAGGAAAUAAAUGUAGAAGCAGGAUGUGAAAGAGGGAUUCAAGAGAAAAUUGUAGAAUAAGCAUGAAUACUGUUUAGUAUUUUUAAUUUUAAAAAUUAGAAAUACUGGUUAGAACUAGACAAAAACUGGUUAGAAUUCAUAAUCUUAGUAUGGCUCAAUGUGUGAAAUUUUUUACUAAGGAUUAGGUUCUUCAGUUGCCUUAAACUUUAGCAGAAAGUAUGGGACAAUGGAUACCAUUUCUCCACACCAUUUAACAGCAGAAAAAAAAAGUUGGGGGAACAUCUGAGAUGCUGGAACUGUUAAGAAGGGAUGUGUUAUUAACAAAAGACAACAUGCAAGUGCAUGGCAUAGGAAAAACCUUCCAUCCCUUUGAAAAUUGUGGGAAUCCAGGGCUUCCCUCUGUCUACCCUGGCAGGUCUGGGACCCUGGCAGGGGGUCAGGAACCCCCCUGUACAGAGCCCCGAGAGACACUGUCUCUGAUCUCUGUCCAUGGAAAAGUGUUUUCAAUCUUACAGGAUGAAUUACAAGCUCUGAGUGUUUGAUAUGAGUAAUAAUUAAGUGUGGCACGGGUGCAAAAGUAAAAUUUUAGGUUUCUAGAUUAGGGGUUCAGAGGGGACAAGAUGGAGGAAUUGGGUUUGUCUUGUCCUUUUCCUCCUUCUUCAUGCCCUCCAUGUUUCACUGUAGUGUUGGCAUUUUUCUAUUGGUUUAGGCUGGGGACACGCUGUUCAACGUAGAUGAUAGAUAUUGGCACAUUAUUGUAAAUAUAGCACAGGUAGUUUCUGGUAUAUAAUGUUUGUAACAUCCCACUGAGGGCAGAGCCCCACACGCUGCCCUGCAGGACAGACCUGCGGCAGGGCAGCAGAGCAUGUUAGAGAUAAACAGAAUAAACAACCUUGAAACCAGCACAGACGAAUUAUGGCUUCUUCUUUGGCAACGGGGCAGAAAGACAGAGACUUUCUACAAUCUCGGAAUCACCAAUACCCACAGAUUCCAACAGAAAGUAUGGUGAAAUAUAGCAGCAGGAGACUAUUGGCUUUGGAAUAGUCUUCUUAUCCUGCCUCCUUCAGCAUUCUGAUUUUGUCCCUGUCUCUCAGUCCUUCUAUUACAGUGGUGUGCUGGUCUGACCUUAGCAGGAAGCACAGACAGAGGCAAAGGAGGGAACCUGUUCUGUGAAACCAGACACUCAUCUGUCCCCAGUAAUCUAGAGGAACCCACAGUCCAGUGCACUGCAACAAACCUAACUUGUAUUGGGAAAAAAAGAUGGAAAUCACAACUUCCCAAGGGUCCAAAUCGCCACUUCCCAAGUGUCCCAAGGGAGUGUGGGUUGGCAUGGCUGUGCCCUGCAGCACUGGCAGAGGGCUGCUCUGCCACCAUCCCCUACAGGCCUGUUUGGUGUUGUGGGGAAGAGGGCAGAAGGCAGGAGGAGGGAGCACAGGAACAGCUGUGAUCUUCCAGCAGCUUUGCCCCUCUGCAGCCCCAGCUGUGGUGAGCAGGAGGGCUGGGCCAUGCUGGAGGAUGCAGAGAGCUGGGCAAUGCAGCACUGCCCAGUGCUGCCACACUGAGACCUGUCCUCCACCUGCCUUUGAGCAGCCACAUCCUCAGUCCAUGAGCUCAGCAAUGCCAAGUCCUGCUGUGCCUGGGCUCACUGGGGGUGAGGACUGAAAUCCUGAGGCACUACAUAGGGCAGUAUUAGCCAGAAGAGAGAAUUGUUUAAUUGCACCUCUCUUCUGAAAACUUCCUAGCUUGCCUUGAGGGAAUUGUCUAUAGAAGCAUGCACAGUACAUGCACACCUGUCUCCUUGUUCAGAGAGAAUGUGUAGGGAAGGAUGCAGGUUUUGUGGGAAAGGGGAAGGAAAACAUCAGUAUGACUUUAUUAGCAUGAGCUUAAAGGGAUCAAAUUUGGAUUAAAUACAAAAAAUUAUUCAGGUAAGGGAGAAAUGUACCCUUUACCAAACUUAGACUAUUGUUACCUGCACAUAGACUCAAUUAUUAGUUUGGCUGGCACAUAUGAAGACAUAGAGAGAUAGAGGGGUGUGUUCUGAGUUCUGUUUGUAAGGUUUCAUUGCAGCUACCAGGAUCAGAUGUUUCUUUUUCUUCUUCUUUUUUUUUUUUUUUCUUUUUUUUUUCUUUUUUUUGGUAAGGAAAAGAGAAACACUGUGAAAAUUACUAGGCUUCUAAGGAAGUGCAGCUAGUGGAAUACAGUUAUCAGCAGAUUGCAUGCUUUGAUUUGGUCUGAAUAAGUUAGGUGCAUGAAAAAAAAAGUGAUUUACAGAUUUCUCUGC
rnacentral:lncRNA from 1 species